GAUGAACGCUGGCGGUAUGCCUAACACAUGCAAGUCGAACGGGAUUCUUCGGAAUCUAGUGGCGGACGGGUGAGUAACGCGUGAGAAUCUGCCUUCAGGAUGGGGACAACAGGGAGAAAUCGCUGCUAAAACCCAAUGUGCCGAGAGGUGAAAUACUUGUAGCCUGAAGAGGAGCUCGCGUCCGAUUAGUUAGUUGGUGGGGUAAGAGCCUACCAAGGCAGCGAUCGGUAGCUGGUCUGAGAGGAUGAGCAGCCACACUGGGACUGAGACACGGCCCAGACUCCUACGGGAGGCAGCAGUGGGGAAUUUUCCGCAAUGGGCGAAAGCCUGACGGAGCAAUACCGCGUGAGGGACGACGGCUUUUUGGGUUGUAAACCUCUUUUCCCUGGGAAGAAGAUCUGACGGUACCAGGGGAAUCAGCAUCGGCUAACUUCGUGCCAGCAGCCGCGGUAAU
rnacentral:rRNA from 1 species